AGACCCGUGGUGUAAUGGUAGCACAGGAGUUUUUGGUUCUCCUUGUCGGGGUUCGAAUCCCUGCGGGUCUA
rnacentral:tRNA from 1 species